ensembl:lncRNA
GGUAAUCCCAUUUCUCAUCCUCCUAGGGGUCAGCUUUGAAGUAAUAACGACCGUGUCCCCAAGUCAGUUCUUUGGCAUUGAAGGGACCAGCUCCCCAUUUCAGCAGCCAUAACAACUGAACAUGUGCUUGUCUGACCUUGUCUUGGUCACUUAGGAGGUCAGAUGCCUGCCUCAUGGCAAGGAACCAAUCAGAAGUUAGCUGGUGGCGCUAUGCUUUACGGCUCUGGGUGUGCUUUAUGGACAAGUGCACAGUAAUGACUCAAAGAGCAUAGCAACCACCCUGGGAGGGCCUAUGAGCCAUAACAACCAGUUGACCAAUCAACACAGGGCAAGUCCUGCAAGCCUGGAGGCACACCAAUCCUGAGCCUAUGCAUACCCCUAGACACUCCCCUUACGCUACCCUAUAAGAUCUCUGUGCCGUGACUUCUUUCCCAGCCAUCUGCCAUGGUGGAAGGAUGAAAGGCCUGAGCUAAUGGAGUUAGCUCAUUAAACAACUGCAAUAAAAGACUCAUUGCUUUUGCAUCGAAAUGGGCCUCUUGUUGAUUUGGGGGUUCAGAAUUUGGGCACAACAGCGUCAUCUCUCACUGUAUUUGUUCUCUUUCCUGGACCUUUACUUCCUCCGGCUCCACAAAUUUAAAACAAACAAAAACCUGGAAGAAAGAAGCUUGCAAACACUUUAAUCCCUUCCAGGCAGGCAAAGUGGAAGGUAUCAGCCAGAGACCUAAGAUUGUUUGUGGGUGGGGUGUAGCACAAGUUCUAGUUGGUCUUAAUAAUAAAAACCCAGAGUCAGAUAAAUGCUGAAAGAUCAGAGAGACGAAGGAGCAAGCCACAGCCACCUCUUACCUUCCCACCUUCUCAACCAAAAAGAGAUUAAGCUCCUGACUCCUCCUGCCUAAUCACUUCCUCUCUCCGCCCAGCCAUCUCACUUCCUGUCUGUGUGUACAGACCUCCAGACCUCUAUGGUUAGCUAGUGGCCAGCUCUGCCCUCUGAUCUUCAGGAACUGACUUGGUGAAGAACCCCUGGCCACUAAGACAGAGCUUUCUUUUAAGCGCCCCACACGGUUUUGCAUCGUUGGUCACCUUGGAAAGAGCUUCUGUUUUCCCCAGUGCCGCCUUUGUUCCACAUUUGGAGCCCAGAACGGGGAAGUGGAAUGAUAUGGAACAUGGAAAUGCAAGUCUAUCACCAGGGCCGUACGAGUCAUUUGGAACAAAAGCAUUUUUAUUUGCCUAGUGCUCAGAAAGUCACGCCAAGAGAUCCAGGGAGGAACUUUGGGUCUCUCUUCCUCCAAAUCACUUCCUCACUCUUAUUCUCUCUCAGGUGGCCAAGACAUGGCAGUCUUGACUGCUAACAAAAUGCCAUUGUGACAUCUCAAUGGCAUGAUUCACGGCGUCUCGGAUGGUUUUUAUUGGGUACUUUCCACAUAUUUCAGGGUACAGCCUUGGCGUCUAUCAGCUGAUUGACUUGGCACAGGAACUCCAUGGGGUGGGAUUUACUGUCCACAGUUAAGGGACUGUGUGUGGCUCACACACAGUCAGCAAUGCCGUAGAGCAGCUCUUGAUUUUAACUGACCCAACUUACACGAUUUGGUAAUUUUAGACUUUGUCCUGAGCCUUGGAAAAUAAGUUCAGUUUUUGUCUCUGGAGUUAGGAAGAAGGCGAAGAGCUAAUAUAAACCCAAGGCAGAUGGACGAAAACUCUUUAGGAUUGUGUGGGUGACUGGGAGCUCUCUGGCUUCUCUGAAGUAUCUGUCUACUGACUGGGGUUUUAGUUGAGGGUUCCUGCUAGAAAACACCAUGAUCGAAAUCAACUUGGGGAGGCUUACACUUCCAUAUCACAGCUCAUCACCAUAGACCAUCAGGGCAGGAACUCAACGCAGGAACCUGGAGGCAGGAGCUGAAACAGAGGCCACGCAGGAGUGAUGCUCACCGGCUUCCUCCUCCAGGCUUGCUCAGCCUGCUUUCUUAUACAGCUUAGGACCAUCUGCCCAGGGCUUGCACCACCUGUACUGGGCUGAGCCUGCCCACAUCUGCCAUUAAUCAAGAAAAAUGCUCUACAGCUAUUUUCUUAAUCGAGUGUUCCUCUUCCCAAAUAGCUUGUGUCAGGUUAGCAUGAAACUAAUCAAGACAGUAGGUGAGGCUAAUCACAUCCCAGAGGUCUCACCUCUCAUCAUUGCUACAAUGGCAAUUAGAUUUCAACGUGAAUUUGCGCAGGGGGGGGGGAAGACAUCAAACCAUAGGAUAACUGAAUGUAUGCUUAGGUACCUGGCUGAAUAUUUCCUCCAAAUAAUCUUGUCUGUCCAUAGGGAUAAACAAGUAUGGUCACUCCAAAGGGACCAGAUCCCCAUUUCGGCAGCCAUAACAGCCUAACACGUGCUUGCCUGACCUUGUCUUGGUUACUAGGAGGUCAGAUACCCACCUCGUGGCAAGGAACCAAUCAGAAGUUAGCUGGUGGUGCUAUGCUUUACAGCUCUGGGUGUGCUUUACAGACAAGUGCACAGCAAUGACAUGCAGAGCAUAGCAACCACCCUGGGAGGGACCAUAACAACCAGUUGACCAAUCAACACAGGGCAAGCCUGGAGGCACACCAAUCCUGAGCCUGUGUGUACCCCUAGAUAAUCCCCUUACGCUGCCCUACAAGAUCUCUGUCCUGUGGUUUCUCGGGGUCUUUCCCCAGCCAUCCACCCUGGUGGAAGGAUGAAAGGCCUGAGCUAAUGGGGUUAGCUCAUUAAACAACUGCAAUAAAAGACUCAUUGCUUUUGCAUGGAAAUGGGCCUCUUGGUGAUUUUGGGGCUCAGAAUUUGGGCAUGACACACUCCAUUUUAAAAAGUUCUUCUAUUUUAAAUAAUUACAAUUCCUGAAACC